UAACACGUGGAUAACCUACCUAUAAGACUGGGAUAACUUCGGGAAACCGGAGCUAAUACCGGAUAAUAUUUUGAACCGCAUGGUUCAAAAGUGAAAGACGGUCUUGCUGUCACUUAUAGAUGGAUCCGCGCUGCAUUAGCUAGUUGGUAAGGUAACGGCUUACCAAGGCAACGAUGCAUAGCCGACCUGAGAGGGUGAUCGGCCACACUGGAACUGAGACACGGUCCAGACUCCUACGGGAGGCAGCAGCA
rnacentral:rRNA from 1 species